rnacentral:ncRNA from 2 species
AUCCGCUAAGGAGUGUGUA